rnacentral:rRNA from 1 species
UCCACGGGAGGCAGCAGUGGGGAAUUUUGGACAAUGGGCGAAAGCCUGAUCCAGCAAUGCCGCGUGUGUGAAGUAGGCCUUCGGGUUGUAAAGCACUUUUGUCCGGAAAGAAAUCCUUGGCUCUAAUACAGUCGGGGGAUGACGGUACCGGAAGAAUAAGCACCGGCUAACUACGUGCCAGCAGCCGCGGUAAUACGUAGGGUGCGAGCGUUAAUCGGAAUUACUGGGCGUAAAGCGUGCGCAGGCGGUUUGCUAAGACCGAUGUGAAAUCCCCGGGCUCAACCUGGGAACUGCAUUGGUGACUGGCAGGCUAGAGUAUGGCAGAGGGGGGUAGAAUUCCACGUGUAGCAGUGAAAUGCGUAGAGAUGUGGAGGAAUACCGAUGGCGAAGGCAGCCCCCUGGGCCAAUACUGACGCUCAUGCACGAAAGCGUGGGGAGCAAACAGGAUUAGAUACCCUGGUAGUCCACGCCCUAAACGAUGUCAACUAGUUGUUGGGGAUUCAUUUCCUUAGUAACGUAGCUAACGCGUGAAGUUGACCGCCUGGGGAGUACGGUCGCAAGAUUAAAACUCAAAGGAAUUGACGGGGACCCGCACAAGCGGUGGAUGAUGUGGAUUAAUUCGAUGCAACGCGAAAAACCUUACCUACCCUUGACAUGGUCGGAAUCCCGCUGAGAGGUGGGAGUGCUCGAAAGAGAACCGGCGCAAAGGUGCUGCAUGGCUGUCGUCAGCUCGUGUCGUGAGAUGUUGGGUUAAGUCCCGCAACGAGCGCAACCCUUGUCCUUAGUUGCUACGCAAGAGCACUCUAAGGAGACUGCCGGUGACAAACCGGAGGAAGGUGGGGAUGACGUCAAGUCCUCAUGGCCCUUAUGGGUAGGGCUUCACACGUCAUACAAUGGUCGGAACAGAGGGUUGCCAACCCGCGAGGGGGAGCUAAUCCCAGAAAACCGAUCGUAGUCCGGAUUGCACUCUGCAACUCGAGUGCAUGAAGCUGGAUCGCUAGUAAUCGCGGAUCAGCAUGCCGCGGUGAAAAAAUCCCGGGCCUUGUACACACCGC